rnacentral:rRNA from 1 species
GUCGGGAGUCUUGCACAAUGGGGGAAACCCUGAUGCAGCGACGUCGCGUGUGGGAUGAAGUAUUUCGGUAUGUAAACCACUUUUGCGGGGGGCGAAAAAAAUGACGGUACCCCGCGAAUAAGCCCCGGCUAACUACGUGCCAGCAGCCGCGGUAAUACGUAGGGGGCGAGCGUUGCUCGGAUUGACUGGGCGUAAAGCGCGCGUAGGCGGUCCAUUAAGUGUGCGGUGAAAUUCGGAGGCUCAACCUCCGUCCCGCCGCGCAAACUGAUGGUCUUGAGAUUGGGAGGGGGAUGCGGAAUUCCUGGUGUAGCGGUGAAAUGCAUUGAUAUCAGGAGGAACACCAGUGGCGAAGGCGGCUUCCUGGCACAAUACUGACGCUCAUGUGCGAAAGCUAGGGCAGCGAACGGGAUUAGAAACCCUGGUAGUCC